GAUGAAGAACGCAGCGAAAUGCGAUACGUAAUGUGAAUUGCAGAAUUCAGUGAAUCAUCGAAUCUUUGAACGCAUAUUGCGCUCUUUGGUAUUCCGAAGAGCAUGCUUGUUUGAGUAUCAGUAAACACCUCAACCUCUUCUUGAUUUUUCAAAAGGAGGGUGGACUUGAGCUAUCCCAACAACCUUUACCGGUCGGCGGGCGGCUUGAAAUGCAGGUGCAGCUGGACUUUUAUGUGAGCUAAAAGCAUAUCUAUUUAGUCCUCGUCAAACAGGAUUAUUACUUUUGCUGCAGCUAACAUAAAGGAUAAUUGUCCUCUUUGCUGACUGAUGCAGGAUUUUACGACACUUUAUGUGUUGUUCAACUCGAUCUCAAAUCAAGUAAGACUACCCGCUGAACUUAAGCAUAUCAAUAAGCGGAGGA
rnacentral:misc_RNA from 1 species